AAAUUCACACAGACCAAAAUAGAAAAAAAGGUGUUCAAUGAAAAGUCUGUCCACUCUAGCAGCCAAACUGUCCCCACUUGGCACACCAACCCCCAGGUGGCCAUUUUUAGUUCUGUGCGUCCCUUCAGAGUUUCUUUCCAAAACUAUGCCCAAGGGUCGAUUCGUAUUCUCAUUUUACUUCUUUUUACACAAAAGGGAGUUUUCCACUCUGCAUGUGCUUCCCACGCAAUCUCCUAGGUGCUGUCCCAGAGCACCCCCUCUGUAUGUUACAGCUGCGUUACUUAAUGGGUCUCCUAUUGGCGGCCACUUGGACUGUGCUAAAAAGCUUAUUGUACAAGGAGGGGCAAACGGAUAACUCUGCACUCACGCCAUUUCAGAUGUACGCUGGUACCUCUGUAGGAUAAAGUUCCAGAAGGGGGCUCGUACCCUGGAAGGCUCCCCAGGGACAUGUCCUUUAAUACUGUCCCCUGCUCCCUACCAACGACCACUGUUACCGCACUUGUAGGGGUUUCCCUGGUAUCACAGUUAAAACAUGAUACCCCAGAGCGGGGCAUGGUGGCACAUGCCUGUAAUCCCAGCAGCUUGGGAGGCUGAGGCAGGAGGAUCACCAGUUCGGGGCCAGCCUCAGCAAUUUAGUGAGGCCCUGAGCAACUUAGUGAGACCCUGUCUCUAAAUAAAAUAUUUUUAAAAGAGCUGGGGGUGUGGCACAGUGGUUAAGCCCUCUGGGUUCAAUCCCCAGUGCCAAAAAGAAAUGCUUCAGGGUAGCUUAUUUUUGCCUUUGUCUUCAGAGUGGGGCAUCUUUUAACAUAUUUAAGAUGCAUUUGUGGUUCUUUUCCUAUGAACCAUUUUUUUUUCACAUUCUUUGCCUAUUUUUCGCUUGUGACAAGCCCUUUAUAGAUUGGGGAGGUUGGUUCUCUGCCUGUGACAUAAGUUUUAAAUGUCUGUUUCCAAUUUGUCUUUGACGUCGUGUUGUUGUUAUUGUUCGUCUUUGGCAUGCAGA
rnacentral:lncRNA from 1 species